rnacentral:rRNA from 1 species
GCCUUCGGGAACUCUGACACAGGUGCUGCAUGGCUGUCGUUCAGCUCGUGUCGUGAGAUGUUGGUUAAGUCCGUAACGAGCGCAACCCUUGUCCUUAGUUACCAGCACGUUAUGGUGGGCACUCUAAGGAGACUGCCGGUGCAAACCGGAGGAAGGUGGGGAUGACGUCAAGUCAUCAUGGCCCUUACGGCCUGGGCUACACACGUGCUACAAUGGUCGGUACAAAGGGUUGCCAAGCCGCGAGGUGGAGCUAAUCCCAUAAAACCGAUCGUAGUCCGGAUCGCAGUCUGCAACUCGACUGCGUGAAGUCGGAAUCGCUAGUAAUCGUGAAUCAGAAUGUCACGGUGAAUACGUUCCCGGGCCUU